GCUACUCUGUGGAUGAAUGGAAAUAUAGCCCUACAAAGAACAUGGGGAAAGGAAGAUGGGUUUGAAUGGUUUACUGAAAAAAAUGUCUUCAUGGAUUCCUUGAUUUCUGUUACACACCUCACUUAACAAAUACUAGGCUGGAUUAAGCAAGAGGGAGAUGCCAAAGAGGCCAUACUGGAUCUUUUCCUCUUAUAAUAUCAGCAUAGAGUUUAUGGGUGACAAAUUAUGCCAAGGAACUGCUGGGAUACUGUUGGGGCACAAGAAUGCUAUGCUUAACUGCUUCGUGAGAGUGAGUGAGUGAGUGAGUGAGUGAGUGAGAGAGAGAGAGAGAGAGAGAGAGAGAGAGAGAGAAUUUUAUUGUGCCUUUCCUUCUCUGCCAGGCACUUGGUUAUCCCUCUUUAAUCAAUUAAAGUUGCAAGGCUUGUUUAGCAAUACCCCUCCUCCUUAGGAAAUAAGUGAGAUGACGUCCUUCUUGUCUUUCCAAUAUCAGAUUCACUCCAGGAGGAGUUCUGAAGAUUUCCAGUUCCAUCACCAUCAUCUCCCUUUCCACAGAGAAUCAAUACACAAAAUUGUGCAUCAAGACUUCCUAGUUCCAUUUUGGACAUAUUCUCUGGUAAGUUUAAGAGAGAAUAACGUCUCUACUAUUUCAGAUCCAGAAUUUUCUAUUGCCAAAGACACAAUUUGAAAAGCCUAAGGGAAAAGUUACUCAAAGGAAGAGCAACGUGUUCUGUCAGCUCUGUUGUUUUUGCCAAACCACAAAGCCAGCUAAAGUUACAGAUAUUAGAAGAACCUUCACUCAGGUGCAAUAGGAAGCAAGAAAAGGCUAAUGAUGGGUCAAGAGCCAUAUACAAAAACAGUGAUCAUGUUACUGCACAAAACAUUAAUCAACAGAGGAUAAUGGAAUGCUAUUAAAUUCCAUUAAAAGCCUAGCUAUUGUUUUCUUAUUAAAAUUC